CCUACGGGUGGCAGCAGUGAGGAAUAUUGGUCAAUGGACGGAAGUCUGAACCAGCCAUGCCGCGUGCAGGAAGACGGUUCUAUGAGUUGUAAACCGCUUUUGUACAAGGGCAAACCUGAAUACGUGUAUUCAGCGGAGAGUACUGUACGAAUAAGGAUCGGCUAACUCCGUGCCAGCAGCCGCGGUAAUACGGAGGAUCCAAGCGUUAUCCGGAUUUAUUGGGUUUAAAGGGUGCGUAGGCGGAUUCGUAAGUGUGAGGUGAAAUGUCCGGGCUUAACGCGGGAACUGCAUCUAAUACUGUGGAUCUAGAGAGUGGAUGCGGUAGGCGGAAUGUGUGGUGUAGCGGUGAAAUGCUUAGAGAUC
rnacentral:rRNA from 1 species